CCUAUACUCCUUACCCUAACCCUACUCCAAGUUUGUUUCUAAACCAAUCUUGAAGAAAAAAGUUUUGACGAAAUGUCAUUUUGAGGUCAGCGAAAUAACUUCUUCCCACCGAAGCCCAUUUUCCCGCCAUGUUAAGUGCCAGGGCGAUGUGCGGGCUGAGAUUUAGGGAGAGUGCGGGUGGACAGAAAAAUGCAGGAAACUAUAAUGUU